CCAUCCUGCAGCUCACUCACGGAAACAACUAGGUGUCCCAGACAGAGAGUCAAGAGAGGAGAUGAAACCUGCUCCCCAAAUUGCGGCCACCACUGGAGUCUUCCAUGGUCCAGCUUGAGAGGCAGGUGCUUAAUAACCGCUUGUUCGGAGUCGUGCACAAGGGCCAACAGCAAAUGUGUGCCGACUGCAGUAAGGAUGGUGAGCAGGGAACAGCAGACUAAUAAUGAAACCAACACUAAUGAUCAAGCAGGAAGGAGAGGAUGGAAGGGAAUAAAAUGGUUUGCAUGUGUUGGCAUAUGUUCCCCUGAAGAUAAAUCUGUG